rnacentral:rRNA from 1 species
AUGAAUGGUUUGAAAUCAGAUGAACAGAUAAAUGAUAAUCUAUUGCCAUCACUUCCAUCAUCAACGAUCUCAACACUAUCUCCGGUUUCUGGAUUGAUGAAUGAACAAAAGGUUGCAUUAGAUGAUGAUAAGCAAUCAGAUGAACAUAAACAGAUUGAAGAUGAAAGAUAUGAUUAUCUCCCACAAGAUUAUGCAUUGACCGAGCGGGAUUUAUGCGCUCAUGUAAUAAUAGAAACGUCUUUGAAAAAUGAUUUACUGGUGAAGAUAGAUGACAUCUCUGUCAAACAACAUCAAAUGGUGUGCCUGCUAGAUGAUAGCAAAUGGCUAAAUGAUGAUGUAAUCAGCGCAUAUAUAUGUUGUAUAAAGGAUCAAGUACAUGUGCAAAAUAAGAAUGAUGGUAAAGUAUAUUUUGAGAACCCCUUUAUUUCCAGAUUGUUAAAACGGGAUGUAAAUAUCGACAACAAGCAUUGGUAUUUAGCUAUCGUCAAUGCAAAAAAGUCUGAGAUACAAGUAUUCGACUCAUUGUGUUGGGAGUUCAACCGAAAUGACCUCACUACUAUGCUACAAGGACUACAAUAUCAUUUGGACAUUCUUAGAAGACAACAAGACUCUAUUAGCCAUAAAUGGACAGAUCUAGAUGUUACUAAAUGGAUGAUUACAGAACAAUUACGAGAGCCAAUUCAGGAAGACAGUUCAUCAUGUGGUCUAUUUAUGCUUAAAUUCAUGGAAUAUUCUACCGAAGAUACACUAUGCCAUCCGAUUACACAGGAAAUAAUUACUCCUUUUAGAUAUAAGUUAGCCAGCAUAUUAUUAUGUUGGAAAACAAAUACAGCAGCGGAAGAUCCUAAUGAUGUUGUGAUGUUGGAAAGUCCGGAGGAUCAAAAUAAAGCAAAAUCAUUAAACUCAUUGUCCUUCAAAAAUAAAUACCAAUCAUUGAUAUCUGUUAUUUCUAACAUGAGCCUACAUGCAUUAGUAGGUAGACUUUGUAGCUACAUCAAGUCAAUCAAGUGUAUGGAAACUUUAGAAAAAGUAUGGGUACAAAGCUCCAAGCCAUAUCCCAUCAGCUUAACUCUAAAAAAGCUACAAGGAAUUCUAAAUGAGGAUUUGCCCAUGAACCGUGAUUGUUUCAAUCUGGUCGUACGAAGGAAUAUGUUUGACAACAUUUAA